rnacentral:rRNA from 1 species
CCUACGGGAGGCAGCAGUGAGGAAUAUUGGUCAAUGGACGAGAGUCUGAACCAGCCAAGUAGCGUGAAGGAUGACUGCCCUAUGGGUUGUAAACUUCUUUUAUAUGGGAAUAAAAUGUUCCAAGUGUGGGAUUUUGUAUGUACCAUCUGAAUAAGGAUCGGCUAACUCCGUGCCAGCAGCCGCGGUAAUACGGAGGAUCCGAGCGUUAUCCGGAUUUAUUGGGUUUAAAGGGAGCGUAGGUGGAUUGUUAAGUCAGUUGUGAAAGUUUGCGGCUCAACCGUAAAAUUGCAGUUGAAACUGGCAGUCUUGAGUACAGUAGAGGUGGGCGGAAUUCGUGGUGUAGCGGUGAAAUGCUUAGAUAUCACGAAGAACUCCGAUUGCGAAGGCAGUUCACUGGACUGCAACUGACACUGAGGCUCGAAAGUGUGGGUAUCAAACAGGAUUAGAUACCCGAGUAGUC